ensembl:lncRNA
CUCCCAGGACAAGGGAGCCCCUGCUGCUGAUGGAGCCCCUGCUUAUCCUCACUACCCUGGCACCCCAGUCUGGGGUCUCGUUAAUCAUGCCCAAAGGGUAGAUAAUUAAUGAGCCUCAUUGUCUUGGGUGUGGGCGUCAACCUGGCAGAUUUGGAAGUUCCAGUUCCUUCUCUCAGCCCGGGUUCUUGCUGACUAUCCUACAGGAAAAUGGCUUAUAGCCAUUCGUAAAUUGAUCACUUGUCCAUGCUAUGGUUUCAUGCAGGAAAUCGUAUUUCAAAGUAGUUGAUCUGAUGAGAGAAGAGUUAGAGCAGAAAACCGUAAUGGUAAAUGUUUCAUUCACGCUCUUUUGAGUUAAAGGAGCUGGUCUCCAUCCAGAGAUACAUUUGAUUCAGAGUCCUGGUAAUUCAGAGACUAAGUGCUAAGCUCUCCUCCCUCAUCAUUGCGGCAAUUAUAUUGUUUCUGGACAGAACUUCUGUGAGGCUGGUCCCAGUGAGGCUACAACAAAGGGGAAACUGGGAGGAGUGGUGGAAACACAUGGAGGAGAUGGUGGCCUAUACCUGUAACCUGUAACUAGCAUGAGCUGCGACCACCUGGAAUAUGCGUCUGCAUAGUUUGGGAAGCAAGUCUGCGGCUUUCUAGCAAUCCUGGAUUUUACGGAUAUUGGCUCUCUCAUCUCAGAGGGUUUCAAGGCCCAUGAACCUGCUCCUCCUGUGGCUCCUGCAGUUUGGGGAGGAUCCUCGCCCAACUCACCUGCCUCUUGGAUUACGGGGAGAUUCUCCAAAAUUUGAUCUCUGGAGCCCAGCCUUUGAGAGAUGUCCCAGUGCCUCCCCAACACGGAGUGACCUCAGAGACGUCCUGCUGACACCACCUUCCUGGUUCUGCUGUCACCAGCUGACAGGUAACACGACAGGCCAUGAUGCCCAUUCUGAGCAAAAACCAAUCUGAGCCGAAUGGAGUGACCAAGUACAGCAGGGAGAGAGUGACAGCAUCCAGCACUCAUCUCACGCCCCUUAAGAACAAUGUUACCGCCCAGGGUGCUUGGGCUCCUUAAUCAAUAGAAACUGAUGAGAAGCCGGAUGGGAAAAUUCAGGCAAGGCUUUGAUGGAGCCCCUGUGGCAGCGGACGGGAGCAGAAACAAAGAACAGUUUCCCUUGCUCGCUCCCUGAGGUGAGGC